CCUGGCCUGGCCUGGCCUCAGGGCCCCUGCUGCCCUUAGAGGAGGGUGGGCAAUUAUUUUGGGCGAGCCAUGACAGGCAGCCAGGGGCAGAUAAAUGUUAAUUUUCUAAAAUUUUUUUGAAUUAAAAAAAAUUCUAAAAGGCCUGGCGGGCUGCAUCCGGCCUGUGGGCCGCUUUGUGCCCACCCCUGCAUUAGAGCCACCAUUGCCAGGCUGUGGCAGCCCCUCCCCCACAUCACCUGCAGCCCCAGGCUUGCUCCCGCCUGAAGGGACGUUGCUGUUUUGUGCUAAACGUGUCUGCCUCGCUAGCCAAGCGUCCCCUUCCUCACCGGUGCAGUCACGCUAGAAGCAAAGUAAAGCUCCUGCUUAUGAGAUGCUGAGCCUGAGGGCCCGACUCGCUCUUGCGCGCCCUUGGCUAUGUGUCUGCACGGCCCUGGGUCUCUUGCCUGAGCCUAGGAGCAGCAGGAGGCAACACGCCACCAUCUUCGAGUUUUUGGUCCCUUAACGUGCCUCCCUGAGGUGAUGAGGUGAAUGCCAUUUUGGCUGCUCCCGGGUGUACACCACCCUUCCCUCUGCCCAGCUCAGUGAAUCCAGUUCAGCGUCUGCACUAUUUAAAAACACCGAUAGGAAAAGCAGAAAGGGCUUGCACGUGCUUGACAUCACGAUGGCUGGAAGCUCUUGGUUGCUGUUAGUGAAAAAGGGGAAAAAAAAAUCCCUUUUCGCAUAGAUAACUUAGCCACAAUUCUUCGAGUAACACGUGGCAGGGCACCAGACCGUGCAUUUGGAUUCAGGGAGGGGAGCGGCAAAGACGAUGAAGGAGAUGAAAGAGGUUUGACCUUGUGACAAAGAGCUCAUAUCCAAGCAAGGAGAACUUUACAUAGAAGUGCUCUUGAGUCCUCCCUCUGCAUUGACCUUGCUCUGACAGACAACCUGACGUUUUGCUCAAAGGAUCUGCUGUUGGGGACCAUGCAGACGAGUGCCUUUCCUUUGAGAGCUGUUGCAGAUGAUUUUGCUGCACGACACAACAGAGAGGACAGCUGCAGAGUGGACUCCUGAGGCCCGGGCUAGUCAGCACCUAAAGCAAGUUGAGUCACCAAGCUGAGGUGGCGCCUCCAGGCAGGACCAGGCAAGCAUCUUGGGAGACAGGCCUGUGGAGAGACAUGUGGGCUCUUGCUGUGUACUCCUUCCAAGCGAUUGCAGUCUAAGAUGGCAAGAUCUGAAAGGGGCAAAAGAAGCAGAAUGGCGUGUCCAAAGUCCCAGAGAUGACAUAUCAAGGGAGCAGCAGGAACCGCCAGCAAAUCAUACUUAAUCUCCACCCCCCUGUCUGGAUCGAUCUCACCAAAAGCACACGUUCCCAAGAGCCUGCUAUAUGCCUGACCCCAGCUUCAUCAAUAUCGCCAUUGCUAAUUAGGAACAGCAGCCAGGAACAGCGCUUCUUCCCUAUUAGGAUUCCCAGAGCUGGAGCAAGAUAUUCAGCAAAGGAGAAGAAGCCUCCAUUUGCAGAUGAGGAGAAGCCAGCUGAGAUGCUGGGGCCUCUACAAAGUUCUGCAAAACACAGUACUAUUCCCCAGACAAGCUGGGCUUGUGCUUUUUUUAAAUGUCUUCCAGGUGCAUAAAAUCCACCUGAAAGUUUCUCCUUAGAGAGGGUCACUGCUUUUUCCAGUCUUGGUAUUGUUAAUACUAAAAUGUGAAAUCUUGUUUCUAAUGAGCGUAAAAGGAGGAGCUGCUGACACUCUUGGAUUGAGCCGGAUGUAAAAUUUCUGACCAGUUUUCUGUUGGAAAAAGCUGAUUGAACAAAACUGAAGUGUUUUCCCAGACCAUAUCAAUUUUGUCAAAAUGUUUGUAGGGAAUUACUGAAACAUUUUGCAUGAAUAUGAUAUGAUAGGGUAUGGUACGGUACAACAUGAUGCAAAUGUUGCAGCAAGGUUGCAAUGAAAUACUUCUUGAAAUAUUUUGUUCAGUGAAAAACUCUGAGCUUUUGCCUUUCUGCCCAGAUUCAGGGCAGAACCAAAUUUUGAAAUCUUGGCAUUUCCAAUGGGAUGGAUAUGCUGAAUUGCAGCCAGCUGUAGUUGUGGGGAACCUGUCUGGGAGCUCAGGCCUUGCUUGACAGGGCCAUUUUACUUCCCUGCUGCCACGUGAACAGACACAAAGAGUGGUAUCCCUGUCUGCCUUUUCACUUCAGGUGGGAAUUCACAUAUGUCAGCCCUAUACCUGCAUGCUGAUCACUGGCCUCUACGCAGCACCUCAGCUUUACUGAUUGAUGCAUAUAGGGCUGGAUCCAAAGUUCUCCCAGUCCCUGCCUACCCAUUUUGCAUGCUGCGAAGAGUGGAUGGGUGCAUCAUGCAGAGGCAUAAAGGAACAGUUUGUGUCCCUUUAUACUCCUGAGUGGGUCAGUGCCAGGCCCAGUCUGAGUAGGGAUUGCAUUGCUAGGCCCUGCAUCCUCAGGAUCCAGUUUGGUUAGUUGCCUUGGAAUCAGCUUCCUCAUGCAGGGGGCCUUAGUGAUGGCAGACAAGGCUGUAGAAUCAGAAUGAAGGGAUCCUGGGCUCGAAUGGGACCUCCAGGGUCACCUACUCCAGGAGGCACAGUUGCAGUGUGGGCUAUUGUUGGCCCAUUCCAGAUACACCCAUCCAACAUCUUCUUGAAAACCUCCAGGGAAGGAGAUUCUACAACUUCCCCAGGCAGCUGGUUCCAUUGUCCUCUUGCUUAUACCAUUAGGAAGCUUUUCCUGAGAUUUGAUCUAAAUCUGCCUUGCUGCAGUUUCAACCCAUUGCCAUAUGACUGCCUGGUGUCAUAAGAGAGAAGCGUUGUCCUUCCUCUUUAUAGUUGGCUUCCAAGUAUUUGAAAACUGCCAUCGUGUCUCCUGUAAUCUCUUUUUCUCCAGAUUAAACACACCACUUUCUCUUCACCUUUCCUCAUACAGCUUGCCCUCCAAAUUAGUCAUCA